rnacentral:rRNA from 1 species
CCUACGGGUGGCUGCAGUGGGGAAUAUUGCGCAAUGGGCGAAAGCCUGACGCAGCGACGCCGCGUGCGGGAUGAAGGUUUUCGGAUCGUAAAACUCUGUCAGAAGGGAAGAAGUUGCAUGGGGCCAAUCACCUGUGCAUUGACGGUACCUUCAAAGGCAGCACCGGCUAACUCCGGGCCAGUAGCCGCGGUAAUCCGGAGGGUGCGUGCGUUAAUCGGGAUUACUGGGCGUAAAGGGCAAGGAGGCUGUAUGUCAAGUCAAGGGUGAAAUCCCACGGCCCAACCGUGGAACUGCCUUUGAAACUGGCAGACUUGAGUAUGUGAGAGGGCGGCGGAAUUCGUGGUGUAGGAGUGAAAUCCGUAGAUAUCAGGAGGAACAUCAGUGGCGAAGGCAGCCGCCCGG